rnacentral:lncRNA from 1 species
CUUCCUGAGCAAGUUCUGCUAGCAUUUCUUCAUAGCACUCGUCUAUUUCGGGUUGAGAUUUAGCUAGCCCAAAGUUCCUUCUUUCAGAGGGAUCCAAUCUCGGAAGAACACUGAUUUUUCCAAGAUGUCCCGCAUCGACGCUCUAUGAUCUCCUAUUUGUAGUCUGGCUUGACUAAAUACGCUCUCCGAUGCAACAGUUGACGCUUGAAUGGACAGAAN